rnacentral:rRNA from 1 species
CCGCACAAGCGGUGGAUGAUGUGGAUUAAUUCGAUGCAACGCGAAAAACCUUACCUACCCUUGACAUGUCCGGAAUCCUGCAGAGAUGCGGGAGUGCCCGAAAGGGAAUCGGAACACAGGUGCUGCAUGGCUGUCGUCAGCUCGUGUCGUGAGAUGUUGGGUUAAGUCCCGCAACGAGCGCAACCCUUAUCAUUAGUUGCUACGCAAGGGCACUCUAAUGAGACUGCCGGUGACAAACCGGAGGAAGGUGGGGAUGACGUCAAGUCCUCAUGGCCCUUAUGGGUAGGGCUUCACACGUCAUACAAUGGUCGGUACAGAGGGUUGCCAAGCCGCGAGGUGGAGCCAAUCCCAGAAAGCCGAUCGUAGUCCGGAUUGUUCUCUGCAACUCGAGAGCAUGAAGUCGGAAUCGCUAGUAAUCGCGGAUCAGCAUGUCGCGGUGAAUACGUUCCCGGGUCUUGUACACACCGCCCGUCACACCAUGGGAGUGGAAUCUGGCAGAAGUAGGUAGCCUAACCGCAAGGAGGGCGCUUACCACGCUGGGUUUCAUGACUGGGGUGAAGUCGUAACAAGGUAACC